rnacentral:tRNA from 1 species
UUUUGUCUAAGCAAAAUAAUGCGUAAAAAUUAGAAUUUUAAGAUCUAAAGACAAUAU